rnacentral:rRNA from 1 species
UACGUAGGGGGCAAGCGUUGUCCGGAUUUAUUGGGCGUAAAGAGCGUGUAGGCGGCCAGGUAGGUCUGCUGUGAAAACUCGAGGCUCAACCUCGAGAUGUCGGCGGAAACCAUCUGGCUAGAGUCCGGAAGAGGAGAGUGGAAUUCCUGGUGUAGCGGUGAAAUGCGCAGAUAUCAGGAAGAACACCCGUGGCGAAGGCGGCUCACUGGACCAUAACUGACGCUGAUGCACGAAAGCUAGGGGAGCAAACAGG